ensembl:lncRNA
GCGAAAUAAACAAUUCUCCCCAGAAAACACCGCCCCACUCUUCAGACAGCUCUUCUCUAGGGAGGCUGAGAUGGCAGACAUUUUAACUUUCCACAGUUAAAAUUUUUUUUUAUUUUUAUUUUUGGCUGUGCUGGGUCUUCGUUCCUUUUGCACAGGCUUUUCUCUGUUUGGGGCAAAUGGGGUCUACUCUGUGUUUCGAUGCACCGGCUUCUCUUACUGCUGAGCACAGACUCUAGGCAUGCAGGCUUCACGUAGUUGCAGCUCGCAGGCUCAGUAGUUGGGCCCCAGAGGUUUAGUUGCCCCUCUGCACGCGGAAUCUUCCCAGAUCAGGGAUUGAACCCCUGUUCCUUGCAUUGGCACGUGGAUUCUUACCAAAUCUGCCACAAAACAAAGGGAAGUCUUUGUUUUCACAUGUGCGCAUUUCUGAACUCAGGGUAUAUCUGACAAAUGAUGCCCUUUCAUAACUAUUUGGCAGUACUUUCUCUACAUAAAAGAACAGUAAAGUACUACAAUUAAAGGCCUUCUACUCUAUUAACUGGAGUAGUUCAGAAGCUGGCUCUCAUUGGCCCAAGAAGAUCACAUGCCUCUAGCUGGCUAAUCACUGUGGCUCUUGUUGUUAGGCCUUAAUCAGGUGCUUCUUUGCUGUUAAGGGUUGGGGGUCUGCAUCCCUUAAGCAGGAGGACCAGCAAAGGAAUGGUGGUUUCCGAGAAGAAAGUCAAAGUGUUGUGGUCAGAAGAGAGACGGUGGAUUCCAGGCAGAAAGAGACAACUGCUGUUUCGUUUUGAGAUUCCGUAAGAAUAUGUCUGUGGAACAAUGGAAGCCUACAAGACAGGCUAGGCUUCCUGGGAAUGGAUUCCGCAAGGAAGGAAAUGCCAGCCAAUGGGCGAGUCAUGUCCCCUGCCAGAGCACGUCUCCUCUUGCUAGCACUGCGAUCACACAUGUUUCACAAUCCCCACAUCUGCUCCGCUAGUGGCUUCAAAGUGGGAGUACCGAAGACAGUCAGAACAACUUGCUGAUGGAGAAAGAAACCGAAUACAGACCUGGCAUGCCGGGAAGUGGGGGUGGGGAAUGACUUUAUCAUCAUCAUUCUGUUUCUCUCUCUUUAGAAGGUCAGGUUGGCUGUGUCAAGGAAAGCCCUCGAAGGUGGUAAUUCUGCCUUUGACUUCAGCCGGUAGACUUGACAUGCACUCCCCAUGGUAGCUGGUUUGUGCUGAACCUGUCACUGCCUCUUCAAAACAUUGCUGGUUUCCAUGGGAACAGAGCAGCACUUACUGAAAGAGCUGCUGGAAAUUUCAAGAUGUCCAAAACUGUCCCUCUAAUGUGUUUUUCUAAGACCUGAUUUGAAAGAGAAACAAUAGCACAACUUGGCAAAGAAGACAAUGGAAGAGGAAUGAUAAUAAGAGUGGCUUGACAGCGUUUGUGGAUCCCAGCAUGCUGUCUUGAUUCUGCCCUUUAGAAAUCAGUCCCAGGGAGAUACUGGCUGAAGCAGAUUCAUGAUCCACGGGCUCCUGACUUCAGACGUGGCUUUGUUAUGGACAGCAAGCCUAUUUGCUGUUUUCAGAGUUUAAAUCUCCACAGGACAAUGCAGCAACAUAACUGGGAAUACACUUGCUAAAUGAGCCUCUUGCAUGCCUGUCUACCUCCUACUCUCUGAGCUAAAAAAGAGCUCAGCAACUGGGAUGAUUAUAUAUCUAUUUUUUAAAGCCACUCUGUAAGGUGGUAACGUGAAAUGAAAGAUAAUGCUUUUCUUUAACCGUUGUCAGGUUGGCAUACCAGAAGAUGAGAUUUUUCUUUUCAUCUCCUUUAAUUAAUUUUUCAAAAAUAGAUUCGAAAAAGAAUUAGA